AAUGGAUCUCUUGGUUCCGGCAUCGAUGAAGAACGCAGCGAACUGCGAUAAGUAAUGUGAAUUGCAGAAUUCAGUGAAUCAUCGAGUCUUUGAACGCACAUUGCGCCCCCUGGCAUUCCGGGGGGCAUGCCUGUCCGAGCGUCAUUGCUGCCCAUCA
rnacentral:rRNA from 1 species